CGGGUCCUACGGGAGGCAGCAGUGGGGAAUAUUGCACAAUGGGGGAAACCCUGAUGCAGCAACGCCGCGUGAGUGAAGAAGUAUUUCGGUAUGUAAAGCUCUAUCAGUAGGGAAGAAGAAAGACGGUACCUGACUAAGAAGCCCCGGCUAACUACGUGCCAGCAGCCGCGGUAAUACGUAGGGGGCAAGCGUUAUCCGGAUUUACUGGGUGUAAAGGGAGCGUAGACGGCAGGGCAAGUCUGAUGUGAAAGCCCGGGGCUCAACCCCGGGACUGCAUUGGAAACUGUCAGGCUAGAGUGCAGGAG
rnacentral:rRNA from 1 species